UAUGUAGGUGGCAAGCGUUGUCCGGAUUUACUGGGCGUAAAGAGCGCGCAGGCGGUCGUUCAAGUCGAGUGUGAAAGCCCCCGGCUCAACUGGGGAGGGUCACUCGAUACUGAUCGACUCGAAGGCAGAAGAGGGAAGCGGAAUUCCCGGUGUAGUGGUGAAAUGCGUAGAUAUCGGGAGGAACACCAGUGGCGAAGGCGGCUUUCUGGUCUGCUCUUGACGCUGAGGCGCGAAAGCUAGGGGAGCAAACAGG
rnacentral:rRNA from 1 species